UGAGUACGAGAUGCUACGGCAUCGAAGCAGUCUAUGUCAUACUUCCAAGAAAAGCUUGCACUGUCAGAAACAGAUAAUGCCUGUACCAUAACCGACACAGGUGGGUAGGUAGAGUAUACUAAGGGGCGCGAGAUAACUCUCUCUAAGGAACUCGGCAAAAUGACUCCGUAACUUCGGGAGAAGGAGUGCCUUAUUUUUAAGGUUGCAAUAACAAGAUCCAAGCAACUGUUUACCAAAAACACAGGUCUCCGCUAAGUCGUAAGACGAUGUAUGGGGGCUGACGCCUGCCCAGUGCCAGAAGGUUAAAGAAGUCGGUUAGCAUUCGCGAAGCUGGUAACUGAAGCCCUGGUGAACGGCGGCCGUAACAAUAACGGUCCUAAGGUAGCGAAAUUCCUUGUCGGGUAAGUCCCGACCCGCACGAAAGGCGUAAUGAUUUGGAUACUGUCUCGGAGAGGGGCUCGGUGAAAUAGACUUGUCUGUGAAGAUGCGGACUACCUGCACCUGGACAGAAAGACCCUAUGAAGCUUUACUGUAACUUGAAAUUGAAGUUGGACUUUAUUUGCGCAGUAUAGGUGGGAGGCGUUGAAAAUAUUCUUGCGGGAAUAUUGGAGCCAUCAGUGAGGUACCACUCUUGUAAUGUUAGAUUUCUAACUUUAUAUCAUUAUCUGGUUAAAGAACAGUUUCAGGCGGGCAGUUUGACUGGGGCGGUCGCCUCCCAAAUGGUAACGGAGGCGCACAAAGGUUUCCUCUGAACGGGUAGAAAUCGUAUCUAGAGUGUAAAGGCAUAAGGAAGCUUGACUGUGAGACCUACAAGUCGAGCAGGGACGAAAGUCGGUCUUAGUGAUCUGACGGUGCUGAGUGGAAAGGCCGUCACUCAACGGAUAAAAGUUACUCUAGGAUAACAGGCUGAUCUCCCCCAAGAGUUCACAUCGACGGGGAGGUUUGGCACCUCGAUGUCGGCUCAUCGCAUCCUGGGGCGGUAGUACGUCCCAAGGGUUGGGCUGUUCGCCCAUGAAAGCGGUACGCGAACUGGGUUCAGAACGUCGUGAGACUGUUCGGUCCAUAUCCGGUGUAGGCGUUAGAAUAUUGAGAGGAGCCUUCUUUAGUACGAGAGGACCGAGAAGGACAUACCUCUGGUGUACCAGUUAUCGUGCCAACGGUAAACGCUGGGUAGCUAUAUAUGGAGUGGAUAACCGCUGAAAGCAUCUAAGUGGGAAGCCCACCUCAAGAUAAGUAUUCUC
rnacentral:rRNA from 1 species